rnacentral:rRNA from 1 species
GACGAACGCUGGCGGCGUGCUUAACACAUGCAAGUCGAACGGAAAGGCCCUGCUUUUGUGGGGUGCUCGAGUGGCGAACGGGUGAGUAACACGUGAGUAACCUGCCCUUGACUUUGGGAUAACUUCAGGAAACUGGGGCUAAUACCGGAUAGGAGCUCCUGCUGCAUGGUGGGGGUUGGAAAGUUUCGGCGGUUGGGGAUGGACUCGCGGCUUAUCAGCUUGUUGGUGGGGUAGUGGCUUACCAAGGCUUUGACGGGUAGCCGGCCUGAGAGGGUGACCGGCAACAUGGGGACUGAGAAACGGCCCAAACUCUUACGGGAGGCAGCAGUGGGAAAUAUUGCACAAGGGGCGGAGGCCGGAUGCAGCAACGCCGCGUGCGGGAGGACGGCCUUCGGGUUGUAAACCGCUUUCGCCUGUGACGAAGCGUGAGUGACGGUAAGGGGAAAGGAAGCACCGGCUAACUACGU